rnacentral:rRNA from 1 species
CGGGUGAGUAAUGCUUGGGAAUAUGCCGAGUGGUGGGGGACAACAGUUGGAAACGACUGCUAAUACCGCAUAAUGUCUACGGACCAAAGGGGGGGCUUCUUCGGAACCUCCCGCCAUUUGAUUAGCCCAAGUGAGAUUAGCUAGUAGGUGAGGUAAUGGCUCACCUAGGCGACGAUCUCUAGCUGGUUUGAGAGGAUGAUCAGCCACACUGGGACUGAGACACGGCCCAG